AGGGCAUAGGAAAAAAUAUCUUAGCCUGAGCUACAGAGUUGCCAGAUUUGAUAAUCACUGAAGCCACAGUUAUAGAUGGAAUUAUCCAGAAGAAGUGAAUACAGUUGAGGAGAGAAGGAAAUAUGGACAUUUACAGUGCAGAAGAAGAGAAGCCCUGAGCAGACUGAACAGGAACAGCCAGAGAGUGGUGUGUAAUGGUGCAACUCACAAUCAAUGGGGUCAGCGAUUCAGUGAAACACGGUGGCUCCUGUCACAGACCAACCCUGUCUAAAGUCGCUGCUAGGGACGCCUUGCUCACGCACCAUUUACCCUUCAGCCCUGGCACCAAUACUGUCCACUCCAGGAGGACAUGAGUGGAGGCCAAGGAAGCUGUGAAGGAGCCCUCCUACCCACACCAACUGGGGUUAUUUCUAAGAAACCCAGCCUUCGCUUUUUCAAUGUUGGUUCCUUCAUUUACUCUAUGUGCCAUGCCUGGAUGUGUUCAAUUCCUGUUGGGACUUGGAAGGCAAUUUUAAUGGUUAUUCCAAAAGGCAUCCUUCAUCAAAUGCUAAACGAAGGCUUUUAAAUAACCAAUGGACUGGAUUUGUUUCCUUUACUGUCUCUAGGCCUCUGCUGAUGGAGGAAAGACUCGUAAGUCCCUGGGUCCUUACAAGGUUCAAACUUCAGUUCUGUGUUCUUUCUUCCCAAGAGCCAGGGGAAAUUGAAAAGUGGCCAUUUCUCAAAGGCUUCUCUUUACCGCCAUGGGGAGCUUGAUGUUGCUGCAUUUAAGAUUGGUCUCUAAGCAGCAAAACUAGAGGAGAAAGGAAUAAGCAGCAAAACCCCCCAAAACUGAAGUGUUAAAACUCUCUUUGAAAUGUUCUACAUCAAAGUUCUUUCAGGGAAGGAGGCUUGAGUUGGCUGACCACUCAUUUAUUCAGAGAAGCCGUAGGAACGUAAUCCCAGAUGAAGUCGACAUCUCCGAGGGGCAGCGGCUGAGAGGAAACUCGACAAAGUUUUCUGGAGUUUUCCUUGAGAACUGUCUCCUUGAGGGGCUGUGUGGGUCUCACUUCAUCUUCCUUUCUCUCAGCUCCCCUGCAGCCACCUACUUCAGAGGAGCU